rnacentral:lncRNA from 1 species
UAACUAUGCUUCCAAGUCAACACAAAAAUUUUCCGCGUCUCCCUAUUCUUCACAAUCGUCAGAGCUACACACCUCUGAUAUGGGAUCUGCUAAAGUCCCAAUAAUUCACGGAAUCUUUGUUAUUGAAAAACCAAUUACAGUUACAAGAUCACAAAUUUUCAGUGUUUUCCUAUAAAUUCAGUCAUAAAGUUUCAAUCUUGAUUUUAUUUUCGUGACCUGUUAAGAGAGAGAUGGGUGGGUGUUUCAGCAAGAAUAAGUACAAAACCCGAGAUGCCAGUGGCUACAGAUCAGGAAGCACAGGCCCCACAGGGUAUCAAAGCCACCAAAAUUAUCAAAAACCAUCAUCUCAGUACACGCCCCAGCCUCCUCAGCUCGAAAGGCAUCACCAGCCGCCACCAAUUCCACGGCCGCUGCCUCAGGCACCAAUUCCAGCUCCUGUGAAACCUGCCCCCCAACACCAGAGCGCUGUUCAAAUAUUAGAACACAAUAACAUUCUAGGUAAGCCCUUUGAGGAUAUAAGGUCAAAAUACAAACUUGGCAGAGAAUUGGGCAAGGGUCAGUUUGGGGUAACUUACCUUUGUACUGAGAGUGCAACUGGGCACACAUAUGCCUGUAAGUCAAUACUGAAGAGGAAGCUUGUGAAUAAGAAUGAUAAGGAGGAUAUGAAGAGGGAAGUUCAUAUUAUACAGCAUUUGAGUGGGCAGCCGAACAUCGUGGAAUUUAAGGGUGCUUAUGAGGACAAGCAAUCUGUGCACGUUUUGAUGGAGCUUUGUGCCGGUGGGGAGCUCUUUGACAGGAUUAUUGCUCAUGGACAUUAUUCUGAGAGAGCUGCCGCUGGCCUCUGUAGACAGAUUGUGAAUGUUGUUCAGCAUUGCCAUUUUAUGGGGGUGGUGCAUAGGGAUCUUAAGCCGGAGAAUUUCUUGCUUGCAAGUAAGGACGAGAAAGCAAUGUUGAAGGCAAUUGAUUUUGGGCUCAGUGUCUUUAUUGAAGAAGGUCUUUUUCUGGCUUCUAGCGUUUCAUUUAUUCAAAUUCAAUAUUAUAAUUUCGGAAUCUAAUGUUAUUUCGUAUAUGUAUUACAAUUCAGCUAAGUUUACAUGUAUUUUCAAAUGGAUAACAAACUUUUAUGUUAGUAGAUUACAAUUCUUUCAAUGUUUUGUGAUCAAGAUCCAACAAUGGCAUAUUCUUGGGGUUGAAUAGAGUUCUAAUACUGUAAAUAGUUCUUUCAGCAACACUUAAAAAUACUUGACCACUCAAGUUCGAAAAUGUCCAAAGAGUGGGAGAUGCUUCAAGGUUCCCCUGUAUCAGAAGAUGCUGCCUUAUAAAUAUGGGAAUGACUCACUUAAGUAUUACAAGAAGAUAUAGACAUUAAGGAAUAAUGACCUUUAUUAAUAAAAUGGUGUAAGUGUGGAUAUUUGACAUCUGGACAGUGAUUUAAAGUAUUUGAAGAUUCUGGUGGAAGUUCCUCUCGGAAAUUUUGAUUGUGAAAUAGACCUGUUAUCUCCAAAAACUGAGAAUGACAGUCGUGUUUUUAAAGAAUGUUAGCUAAUUGAAUGUUGAAGAAGUUCAGAUGGCAGUUUCCAUAACUAAGAUGAUUGAAAAGCGUGGCCACCAUUUUACCAUAUCAUCUCCACACCGUGCUGUCCCUUAUAUGUGUGCAUUUUUUGAAAUUUAAUCAAUUUUUCUCUGACAUUUUAUUAAUUUCAUGUUUGUUUCAUUGAUACACAAAUUUUCUUUUAAUUUCCAUAAAAAUAACGAUCCCUUAGUUAUUAAAAUCACAGGAAAGGUGUAUCAUGAUGUUGUUGGUAGUGCAUACUAUGUAGCUCCUGAAGUUCUACGUCGAAGUUAUGGGAAGGAAAUAGAUAUAUGGAGUGCAGGUGUGAUUUUGUACAUUCUUCUAAGUGGUGUGCCUCCAUUUUGGGCUGGUAAGCUAAAUAUAACAGUUCUAUACGAUGUUUUCUGCUCUUUAUCCGUAACUCCCUUUUACCUUAACAUGUUUGCCCAAGCUUAAAAUUUACUUUUAAAUAACUUUUUUGGCCAAACAUGUUUUUUCUUUUUAGCCUUUUAAUGUUUCUAUUUUUCUUUCUGGGGUUUUUUUUUUUUUUUUUUUUUCUAGUCAACACUUACUUCUACAAAAUUACUUUUAGCCUAACAUGCUCUUUGGAGGAGGAAAAAAGUAAAACUCUUCAACUCGUUUCAUGUAAUUUUGCUGCAGAAACUGAAAAGGGGAUAUUUGAUGCUAUACUGAAAGAAGAAAUUGACUUUGAAAGCCAGCCAUGGCCCUCAAUAUCAAACAAUGCGAAAGACCUUGUUCGUAGAAUGCUGAUGAAGGAUCCAAAAAAGAGAAUUACUUCUGUACAAGUACUGGGUAAAAUCCCCUUCUCACUUCCAUAGAAUUUCAAGUCACAUCUGUGUAACAUCUCAUCUUUAAUUCCUCACAUCUUUAUGCACGUCUUUUGAACAUGAAGACGGAUUUUCAUUUCUGACUUGUAUUGUGCAUUCCUUGUCAACUUUUCAAAUGACAGAGAGAUAUAAGUUCUCUUGCAAUUACCAUUGUCUUUGCUGUCAUUAGUUUAUCCAAACUUAGGAAUUUGUCUCAGAUGGGUGUUGAUAUUGAUGCUGCUAACUAGAAAAAUUAACUGAAAAGAAAGAAUGAUAUGGUUUAUUUAUGAGUUAUCCUCGAAACCCAAUGAGCAGUUGAAUUUUGGUUUAAGUUUGAAGCCCCUGUAUCUAUUCAAAACAAAACUUUAUAAUUAAUUACCUGAGAAUUAUAUGAGAAAUUUGGGGCAAUAUAAAUUGAUUCAUAUCAAGGGCCAACUAGCGUAUAAACGGUAUAAGUUGCUUAUUUCUAACGACUCCUGUGUAUAUCACGUCUUUUGUUUCUAUUUCUAUUAAACAUCAUUUUGAAAACUUGUGUUCUUUAAGUUGUUUAGUUGAUCUAGUUUUCUUUUUCAAACUAGCAUUUCUAAGCUCUGCCUAGCAAUUAGCAUAUUGUGGCUAAAGUUGAAUAUUUUCUAUUCUUGUUUUUAUAGAGCACCCUUGGAUUAAAGGACAAGCACCUGAUAAGCCAAUUGAUAGUGCUGUGCUCUCUAGAAUGAAGCAGUUCAGAGCAAUGAAUAAGCUCAAGAAACUUGCACUAAAGGUAAAUUAUUAUCUCGUGUGUUCGUUUUAUAUGAAUUAAAUUGAAAAGUUGAAAUUAUGAAUAUUUUUUCAAGUUUUGUCAUGUUUAUCAGGUCAGAAACAUGAUGCUUUCUAGUGACAAUAAACCUCUAGUAUGGCAACUAUCUAUUCUACCUGCUGAUCAUGUCUGAUAAUUCAUCUGAAUUUGUUCUGCCAUCACCCAUCUAUUAGAAAAUAUGAGACGAUCAUUUUUCUUCAGUAUGUAGCUUUAAUUGAUCUAGCUGGAUUGAUGUCAGAACCUACUUGAUAAAGCAGAUAAAAACAUGUAUUGUAUCCUAAUCAUCAUUAAAUUUUUUACAGAAACGGAGCUACAACAUGAAACAUGGACAAUAGACUGCUUUCAAUUUAUAUCAAUUCCUUAGGGUCAAUAUCAAUAUCUUGGUAUGAUUGUUUAAAGCUUGUCUGGCACAGAUUUUUCCAAUGGAAAAAUGAUUUUUUGGAGAAUAUGUGGUUAAAAAAUAGUGAAAAGUUGUGAAUCUAAUAGAAUCUCAGGUUGAAAAUGAUUUUGGGGAAAAUUGAUUUAACCCCAAAAAAAAAAAAAAAAAAAAAAAAAAAAAAAAAAAAGAAAGAACUCUGAUAAACAAGCUUUUAGGUAAGAGUGAAAAACAUGAUAUAUAAUUAAUCUAGGGGCCAAAAAAGGUGCUCAUAAAUUGCAUUUUUGCGGUAACCGGUAGAUGAGUAGGUCCCAUGUGGAAUACUAAAAAAAUUUCCAUUUAAGGAAUAAUGGCUGUUAUUAUGAAACAACCUCAAAUAGAAAGUAGAGGGAAUUCGACUUGACAUGAAUGGAGUUCUUUAGAGAAUUUACUAUAUGGUACCAAAAAGUACUUUUCCUAUGGUCAUGGAUCUUGAUCAUUUCGGCAACCAUGUAAUAUAUGCAAUAUUGCUCGAACUUAGAUGGAGAUGUUCUUUUCCUUACUAUGUGCUGUUGCAUUUGGAAACUCCUGUAGGUCAUUGCACAAAGUUUAUCUGAAGAAGAAAUUAAAGGUCUCAAAGCAAUGUUCACAAAUAUGGACACAGACAAUAGUGGUGCAAUCACAUAUGAAGAAUUGAAAUCUGGAUUGGCUCGCCUUGGGUCAAAACUGUCAGAAGUAGAAGUAAAACAACUCAUGGAAGCUGUAAGUUCCAAUCGUCUAUAUGGACAAAAUUUAUAGAACCUUUAUUUGCCAUGACUGCUUCCUUGGAUUAAUCUGUUCAUUCUUUAUAAUUCAGGCUGAUGUGGAUGGAAAUGGGACAAUUGAUUAUAUUGAAUUUAUAACUGCUACGAUGCAUAGACAUAAGCUUGAACGAGACGAGCAUCUCUUUAAAGCUUUUCAGUAUUUUGACAAGGAUAACAGUGGGUAAGCCAUGAUAAUGGUCUAAUGUCAACUGCAUUUAUCUUGUACACAUCUAAGGAAGUUUGUUAAGUUGGAUUAACAGUACUGGACUGUUUAACAAAGAAAAAGAAGUCAAAAUCCUCUGAUUAUGUGUUAAAUUAGUGCUACCUUGUGGGGUUUUUCAUGCUUUCCUUGCAUUAUCCAUGACAUUUGUCAUCGCCUAAUUUCCUAGUGUCAUUUCAGCUAUAUUACGAGAGAUGAACUGGAAACUGCUAUGAAGGAGUACGGUAUGGGUGAUGAGGCCACAAUCAAGGAAAUAAUUUCAGAAGUUGAUACAGAUAAUGUAAGCGUAUGCCUGAUUCAAGAAAUGAGAUAAGACACCUUGUGAUUAGAUAUAGACCAGCAUUAUAUUGUUUCAUUUUAUAGGAUGGACGGAUCAACUACGAGGAGUUCUGUCAAAUGAUGAGAAGCGGAACAACACAACAGGCGAAGCUCUUCUAGUGUCGAGGCAAAUAAUGUUUUGAGCAGUUCGUUUUUUGGACUCAUGAGAAUGUUCUGUAAGGAUGACGAGAUGCUGGGGACGAGGUGCAAGAUGACGUUUUAUCUUGAUUUCUUGUCGGAUUAUCAACUGCUUUCGUGACAUUGAAGGGAGUAUUGGUUAAGAAUUUGUGAGGCCUUUUUGUUCAGAUAGCUGUAGAUGGUGUUGUGCAUACUCUAUUCCAUUACUAAUUUGUGUUUAUCCGUAAUGUAUUGGAUGCCCAAUAAAUUUUAUACUUACAAUAGUGUUUAUUCUUGUAAGUGGAUUCCUGUGUGGUAAACGAUUGGGAUUAAAUAUGCCCACCGUUCUCCCUGGAUUUGUUGACAGCAGAUAUCAUUCUCAUCUAACGGAUUACUUGGUCUAGUAGAUUAC